AUGACAUGUGAAGCUAGAAGAUGGAGGAUAGUGUAUAUACUGCACCAUCCACAGGCCUUCUCCGACGCGGACGCCCAAAUCUCCCCCAUAUGUUUUAUGUUUGGACCAGAUGUCUGUAAAUUUUUGGGCCUUCAUCGCAGCUGCCCAUUUUGGGCCCGACCGGUCCAAAACGUCCACAAUGUCCUAAGUUCGACCCCAACCACGUCGGCCUAUGAUGGUCCGGACCCACCCAAAACCCUGACGCUGGUGUAUUUUCACAAUUUGCCGCAUCAAUCCCCCUGGACAUUGCCCAGGCCUUUGCCGGACAUUCGUCGCUCCACCUAG
rnacentral:rRNA from 1 species